rnacentral:rRNA from 1 species
CUAGACCUGAAAUCAGUCGAGGUUACCCGCUGAAUUUAAGCAUAUUACUAAGCGGAGGAAAAGAAAAUAACUAUGAUUCCCUCAGUAACGGCGAGUGAAGCGGGAAGAGCUCAAAGUGAAAAUCGCUGUUCCUUUUGGAACUGCGAAUUGUAGCCUCUAGAGGCGUUGCCAGU